GACGAACGCUGGCGGCGUGCUUAACACAUGCAAGUCGAGCGAAAGGAUUCCCUUCGGGGAUGAAUUUAGCGGCGGACGGGUGAGUAACACGUGGGCAACCUGCCUUAUAGAGGGGGAUAGCCUUCCGAAAGGAAGAUUAAUACCGCAUAACAUCAUUUUACCGCAUGGUAGUUUGAUCAAAGGAGCAAUCCGCUAUAAGAUGGGCCCGCGGCGCAUUAGCUAGUUGGUGAGGUAACGGCUCACCAAGGCGACGAUGCGUAGCCGACCUGAGAGGGUGAUCGGCCACAUUGGGACUGAGACACGGCCCAGACUCCUACGGGAGGCAGCAGUGGGGAAUAUUGCACAAUGGGGGAAACCCUGAUGCAGCAACGCCGCGUGAGUGAUGAAGGCCUUCGGGUUGUAAAGCUCUGUCUUUGGGGACGAUAAUGACGGUACCCAAGGAGGAAGCCACGGCUAACUACGUGCCAGCCGCCGCCGUAACAC
rnacentral:rRNA from 1 species